rnacentral:rRNA from 1 species
AUUCCGCUUCGGCGGGAGAGUACAGCGGCGCACGGGUGAGUAACGCGUGGGUAAUCUACCUUCAAGUCUGGAAUAACACCCCGAAAGGAGUGCUAAUACCGGAUAUGACCGCAGCUAUUUUUGUGGCAGCGGUAAAAGAUGGCCUCUCCAUGGAAGCUAUUGCUUGAGGAUGAGCCCGCGUCCUAUCAGCUUGUUGGUAGGGUAAUGGCCUACCAAGGCUAAGACGGGUAGCUGGUCUGAGAGGACGACCAGCCACACUGGGACUGAGACACGGCCCAGACUCCUACGGGAGGCAGCAGUGGGGAAUCUUGCGCAAUGGGGGAAACCCUGACGCAGCGACGCCGUGUGAGUGAUGAAGGCCUUCGGGUUGUAAAGCUCUGUCAGGUGAGAAGAAAUUCUCUAUGGCUAAUAUCCAUAGGGAUCGACGGUAUCACCAGAGGAAGCACCGGCUAACUCCGUGCCAGCAGCCGCGGUAAUACGGAGGGUGCAAGCGUUGUUCGGAAUUACUGGGCGUAAAGGGGGUGUAGGCGGCCAAGUAAGUCAGAUGUGAAAUCCCCCGGCUUAACCGAGGAAGUGCAUCUGAAACUGCUUGGCUUGAGU